rnacentral:rRNA from 1 species
GACGAACGCUGGCGGCGUGCUUAACACAUGCAAGUCGAACGGAAAGGCCCUGCUUUUGUGGGGUGCUCGAGUGGCGAACGGGUGAGUAACACGUGAGUAACCUGCCCUUGGCUUUGGGAUAACUUCAGGAAACUGGGGCUAAUACCGGAUAGGAGCUCCUGCUGCAUGGUGGGGGUUGGAAAGUUUCGGCGGUUGGGGAUGGACUCGCGGCUUAUCAGCUUGUUGGUGGGGUAGUGGCUUACCAAGGCUUUGACGGGUAGCCGGCCUGAGAGGGUGACCGGCCACAUUGGGACUGAGAUACGGCCCAGACUCCUGCGGGAGGCAGCAGUGGGGAAUAUUGCACAAUGGGCGGAAGCCUGAUGCAGCAACGCCGCGUGCGGGAUGACGGCCUUCGGGUUGUAAACCGCUUUCGCCUGUGACGAAGCGUGAGUGACGGUAAUGGGUAAAGAAGCACCGGCUAACUACGUG